rnacentral:rRNA from 1 species
UACGGAGGAUCCAAGCGUUAUCCGGAAUCAUUGGGUUUAAAGGGUCCGUAGGCGGUUUGGUAAGUCAGUGGUGAAAGCCCAUCGCUCAACGGUGGAACGGCCAUUGAUACUGCCAGACUUGAAUUAUUAGGAAGUAACUAGAAUAUGUAGUGUAGCGGUGAAAUGCUUAGAGAUUACAUGGAAUACCAAUUGCGAAGGCAGGUUACUACUAAUGGAUUGACGCUGAUGGACGAAAGCGUGGGGUAGCGAAACAGGA